rfam:Bordetella genomosp. 9 strain AT17164, complete genome.
GGCCUGGUAGCUCAGUUGGUAGAGCAGAGGAUUGAAAAUCCUUGUGUCGGUGGUUCGAUUCCGCCCCAGGCCA